UAGAGUUUAGUUGAUAGACAACAUUAAAUUGCAAGUUUAAAGGAAAAUAUUUUAAUUCUAU
rnacentral:tRNA from 1 species